rnacentral:rRNA from 1 species
CCCUUAGAUGUCCUGGGCCGCACGCGCGCUACACUGAUGCAUGCAACGAGUUUAUAACCUUGGCCUGAAAGGUCUGGGUAAUCUUUUGAACGUGCAUCGUGAUAGGGAUAGAUUAUUGCAAUUGUUAAUCUUGAACGAGGAAUUCCUAGUAAACGCGAGUCAUCAGCUCGCAUUGAUUACGUCACUGCCCUUUGUACACACCGCCCGUCGCACCUACCGAUUGAAUGGUUCGGUGAAGAUCUCGGACUUCGAUAUUUAUUCUUUAUUGAGUUUAUAUUGUGGGAAGUUAUCUAAACCUCAUCAUUUAGAGGAAGGUGAAGUCGUAACA